AUUGAACGCUGGCGGCAGGCCUAACACAUGCAAGUCGAACGAGUGGCGGACGGGUGAGUAAUGUCUGGGAAACUGCCUGAUGGAGGGGGAUAACUACUGGAAACGGUAGCUAAUACCGCAUACCAUCAGCUGUGCCCAGAUGGGAUUAGCUAGUUGGUGGGGUAACGGCUCACCAAGGCGACGAGCCCUAGCUGGUCUGCGAGGAUGACCCGCCACACCGUAAUUGCGGCAUGGUCCAGACUCCUACGGGAGGCAGCAGUGGGGAAUCUUGCACAAUGGGCGCAAGUCUGAUGUAGCCCCGCCGCGCGUAUGAAGAAGGCUUUCGGGUUGUAAAGUACUUUCAUCGGGGAGGCGUUACCCGCUGCAGAAGCACCGGCUAACUCCGUGCCAGCAGCCGCGGUAAUUC
rnacentral:rRNA from 1 species